rnacentral:rRNA from 1 species
AAAGGGCGUGUAGGCGGUCUUUCAAGUCCGAUGCUAAAGACUGGGGCUCAACCCCAGGGGUGCGUUGGAUACUGUGAGGCUAGACGGUCGGAGGGGGUAGCGGAAUUUCCGGAGUAGCGGUGAAAUGCGCAGAUACCGGAAGGAACGCCAAUAGCGAAGGCAGCUACCUGGACGACUUGUGACGCUGAGGCGCGAAAGCGUGGGGAGCAAACCGGAUUAGAUACCCGGGUAGUCCACGCCCUAAACCAUGAGUGCUGGGUGUCCGGCUUCUGCUGGGUGCCGUAGCUAACGCGCUAAGCACUCCGCCUGGGAAGUACGCACGCAAGUGUGAAACUCAAAGGAAUUGACGGGGGCCCGCACAAGCGGUGGAGCAUGUGGUUUAAUUCGAAGCGACGCGAAGAACCUUACCAGGCCUUGAUAUGCCCGGAACCCCUCUGAAAGGAGGGGGUGCCCGCAAGGGAGCCGGGACACAGGUGCUGCAUGGCCGUCGUCAGCUCGUGUCGUGAGAUGUUGGGUUAAGUCCCGCAACGAGCGCAACCCCUAUCCCUAGUUGCCAGCAGUUCGGCUGGGCACUCUAUGGAGACUGCCUGCGAAAGCAGGAGGAAGGCGGGGAUGACGUCUGGUCCGCAUGGCCCUUACGGCCUGGGCGACACACGUGCUACAAUGCCAAGGACAGAGCGCUGCUACCUCGCGAGAGGACGCCAAUCGCAAAAACCUUGGCUCAGUUCGGAUUGGAGUCUGCAACUCGACUCC